AUUGAACGCUGGCGGCAUGCCUUACACAUGCAAGUCGAACGGUAACAGGUCUUCGGAUGCUGACGAGUGGCGAACGGGUGAGUAAUACAUCGGAACGUGCCUAGUAGUGGGGGAUAACUACUCGAAAGAGUGGCUAAUACCGCAUGAGAUCUACGGAUGAAAGCAGGGGAUCGCAAGGCCUUGUGCUACUAGAGCGGCCGAUGGCAGAUUAGGUAGUUGGUGGGAUAAAAGCUUACCAAGCCGACGAUCUGUAGCUGGUCUGAGAGGACGAUCAGCCACACUGGGACUGAGACACGGCCCAGACUCCUACGGGAGGCAGCAGCGGGGAAUUUUGGACAAUGGGCGCAAGCCUGAUCCAGCAAUGCCGCGUGCAGGAUGAAGGCCUUCGGGUUGUAAACUGCUUUUGUACGGAACGAAAAGCCCCGGGUUAAUACCCUGGGGUCAUGACGGUACCGUAAGAAUAAGCACCGGCUAACUACGUGCCAGCCGCCGCCGUAA
rnacentral:rRNA from 1 species